GUUUUAAUAGUUUAUCAUAAAACAUUGGUCUUGUAAAUCAAAAAAAAUUAUAUAUUUUAAAACU
rnacentral:tRNA from 1 species